rnacentral:lncRNA from 1 species
AGGACCGAAAAUUAAAACAAAAUCUAAAUAUACUGUUAGAUUCGGCAUAUCAAAGACCCCCAAUAAUAUUGAGAAUGGAAAUGGGGAAUGUGUCAAAGAGACAACAACCCGACCAUAGAAAAAACAACAGCAGAAGGUCACCAACAGGUCUUCAAUGUAGCGAGAAAUUCCCGCACCCGGAGGCGUCCUUCAGCUGGCCCCUAAACAAAUAUAUAGUAGUUCAGUGAUAAUGAACGCCAUACUAAUUUCCAAAUUGUAC